GGGAACAUACCCUUUCCUGCGGAAUAGCUCCGGGAAACUGGAAUUAAUACCGCAUACGCCCUACGGGGGAAAGAUUUAUCGGGGAAGGAUUGGCCCGCGUUGGAUUAGCUAGUUGGUGGGGUAAAGGCCUACCAAGGCGACGAUCCAUAGCUGGUCUGAGAGGAUGAUCAGCCACAUUGGGACUGAGACACGGCCCAAACUCCUACGGGAGGCAGCAGUGGGGAAUAUUGGACAAUGGGCGCAAGCCUGAUCCAGCCAUGCCGCGUGAGUGAUGAAGGCCUUAGGGUUGUAAAGCUCUUUCACCGAUGAAGAUAAUGACGGUAGUCGGAGAAGAAGCCCCGGCUAACUUCGUGCCAGCAGCCGCGGUAAUACGAAGGGGGCUAGCGUUGUUCGGAAUUACUGGGCGUAAAGCGCACGUAGGCGGAUAUUUAAGUCAGGGGUGAAAUCCCGCAGCUCAACUGCGGAACUGCCUUUGAUACUGGGUAUCUUGAGUAUGGAAGAGGUAAGUGGAAUUCCGAGU
rnacentral:rRNA from 1 species